GAUGAACGCUAGCUACAGGCUUAACACAUGCAAGUCGAGGGGAAACGACAUCGAAAGCUUGCUUUCGAUGGGCGUCGACCGGCGCACGGGUGAGUAACGCGUAUCCAACCUGCCCACCACUUGGGGAUAACCUUGCGAAAGUAAGACUAAUACCCAAUGAUAUCUCUAGAAGACAUCUGAAAGAGAUUAAAGAUUUAUCGGUGAGGGAUGGUGAUGCGUGUGAUUAGCUUGUUGGCGGUGUAACGGCCGACCAAGGCUACGAUCCGUAGGGGUUCUGAGAGAAAGGUACGCGAAAUUGGAACGGAGACACGGUCCAAACUCCUACGGGCGGUAGCAGUGCGGAAUAGUGGUGAAUGGACGAGAGUGUGAACCAGGCAAGUAGGGUGCAGGAUGACGGCCUUAUGGGUCGUAAACUGCUUUUAUAAGGGAAUAAAGUGAGUCUCGGGAGACUUUUUGCAUGUACCUUAUGAAUAAGGACCGGCUAAUUCCGUGCCAGCCGCCGCAGUAA
rnacentral:rRNA from 1 species